CUACAGGAACUUAAUAAAAUCUAUAUUCAGGAUUUUGGCGGAGCUACGCAUGCUUUGCGUCAAACAGAGCUUGCUGGGAAACUACAGGAACUGAACAAAGUUCUCCUUGCUAAACAAGAACUAGCAGAGAAGAUGGGAGCUAACGACGAGAAGUUUGUUCUAAUGAAGAAAAUGUAUGAAGAGCAGUUAAAGACUAUGGAAGAAGAGAUGGGUAAACUGCAUCAAGAGAGAGAUAAUUUAAUGCAACAACAACGUAACGCUGGAUCCAACGCAGCUGCACUUACCGGUCAAACAUGCAAGGUCAGUAAAUACAGAAAAUAAAGAG